AUUGGUCUUUCGUCAUCUUGUAAUGCUUUUCAUGUUUGUUACUAAAAUUUCUUGUUUCUUAGUCAUUCACAUCACUCUAAUGAUGAUUUCCUUUGUUCCAGUUGUUUCUGAAUGGUUGAAAGCUGAAAAUUGUCCUUUCUUUCUAAGCACUUUCAUUUUUCAGAGAAUUUUUUUUCUUUGCAAAAUCAAGCACCCCCAUAUUACUGGUGAUUUUAUGUGCCCAUUUUUUUAUAUUUCAGAGGAAUUUCAAAUAUUGAAAUAGUUUUUGGAAAAUUUAUAUUAGUACUUUUAAUAUCCAUGUUUUGUUCAACUAAAUCCAUGUUUUGUUCCACUAACUGGUUAAAGUCAUGGAUUUCUCUGCAGUGAUGAACUGUUAGCAUGUAAGUAGAUUUGUAGGGUUUCUUUGAUGAAAUAUACUUGUUACACUUGGCUUCUGAGCUUUAUCAUUAAAGUGAUCUGUUGUGAUGUAUGGCUAGUGGUCAAGUUUAUUAAUGCACACCAUCGAUUUCAUGUGUCAUUGGUGCUUGCUUUCAAUAUUUGAGUACAAUUUCAAAUAUAUUGAAUGAUUUUUUUAGCAUAAAGUGAACGGGUCUUUUUUGAAGCUUCAUAUCUAAUAUUUGUUCAAUUUUCAAUAUUGAAAUAAACGCAUAAAGUCAUAGGUUCCUAUGCAGUGAUGAGCUCAUAACAUGUAAGAAGAUCUCUUUUGUGGGGUUUCUUCAGUGAAAUAUACUUGUUACGCUUGGCUUCUGAGCUCAGUACCUGUCAUAGUGAUUAUUUGAUAUGUAGUGGUCUUUGUUUGAUUUGCUUGUACAUGUCAGGCUGCACUAAGGAAAUGAAACACUUUUAGCCAUCUUGGUCGAAGUCAUUAGAUUUCUAUGCGGUGAUGAGCUGUUAACAUGUAAGAAGAACCCUAUUGUGUGUAGGGUUUCUUCGGUGAAAUGUACUUGUUACGCUUGGCUUCUGAGCUUUGUACUUGUAGAGUUAUAGCAAUACCUUGAUAUGUUCAAAGAUUCUUCCACAAUCAUGUUGCAUCAUGGUAGGUUAUCAGGUUGUCAAACAUAAUCAUAUUUGAUUAGAUAAAUUUUUUUAUUUAAUCAUGUUUUUUUAGCCAUCUUGGUUGAAGUCAUUAGAUUUCUAUGUGGUGAUGAGCUGUUAACAUGUAAGAAGAACCCUAUUGUGUGUAGGGUUUCUUCGGUGAAAUGUACUUGUUACGCUUGGCUUCUGAGCUUAGUACUUGUAGAGUUAGAGCGAUACCAUGAUAUGUAUGGCUGGUGUCUCCUUUUUUUAUUUGUUUGUACAUGUCAUGCUGCACUAACAAAACGAAGCAGCAUCUCACUGUUUUAUGCACUCGCAUAAUUAUGAGAAUUGAUUUUGUUUUUUUAAGUUGGUUUUUUUUUUCUUUAAAAAAUUAUUAAUGCACUUGAUUCAUUCAGCAAAAAUUGAGGAAUCAAGUGGGUUUUGCUUCAAUAUUUAAAUCCAUUUUCAAAGAUUCUUCCAAAAUCAUGUUAUAUCUUGGUAGGUUUUCAGGUUGUUAAACAUAAUCAUAUUUGAUUUGAUAAUUUUUUUUAGCCAUCGUGGUCGCAGUCAUUAGAUUUCUAUGCGGUGAUGAGCUUGUUAACAUGUAAGAAGAACCCUAUUGUGUGUAGGGUUUCUUCGGUGAAAUGUACUUGUUACGCUUGGCUUCUGAGCUUAGUACUUGUAGAGUUAGAGCGAUACCAUGAUAUGUAUGGCUGGUGUCUCCUUUUUUUAUUUGUUUGUACAUGUCAUGCUGCACUAACAAAACGAAGCAGCAUCUCACUGUUUUAUGCACUCGCAUAAUUAUGAGAAUUGAUUUUGUUUUUUUAAGUUGGUUUUUUUUUUCUUUAAAAAAUUAUUAAUGCACUUGAUUCAUUCAGCAAAAAUUGAGGAAUCAAGUGGGUUUUGCUUCAAUAUUUAAAUCCAUUUUCAAAGAUUCUUCCAAAAUCAUGUUAUAUCUUGGUAGGUUUUCAGGUUGUUAAACAUAAUCAUAUUUGAUUUGAUAAUUUUUUUUAGCCAUCGUGGUCGCAGUCAUUAGAUUUCUAUGCGGUGAUGAGCUUGUUAACAUGUAAGAAGAACCCUAUUGUGUGUAGGGUUUCUUCGGUGAAAUGUACUUGUUACGCUUGGCUUCUGAGCUUAGUACUUGUAGAGUUAUAGCGAUAGCUUGAUAUGUAUGGCUGGUGUCUCAUUUUUUGAUUUGUUUGUACAUGUCAUGCUGCACUAACAAAAUGAAGCAGCAUCUCACUGUUUUAUGCACUUGCAUAAUUUUGAGAAUUGAUUUUGUUUCUUAAAGUUGUUUUUUUUUUUCUUAAAAAACUUAUUAAUACACUUGAUUCAUUCAGAAAAAAUUGAGUCUGGAAUUGAUGAAUCAAGUGGGUUUUGCUUCAAUAUUUAAAUCCAUUUUCAAAGAUUCUUCCAAAAUCAUGUUAUAUCUUGGUAGGUUUUCAUGUUGUUAAACAUAAAUCAUAUUUGAUUUGAUAGUUUUUUUUUUAUUUGAUCAUGUUUUUUUUUAGCCAUCGUGGUCAAAGUCAUUAGAUGUCUAUGCAGUGAUGAGCUUGUUAACAUGUAAGAAGAACCCUAUUGUGUGUAGGGUUUCUUCUGUGAAAUGUACUUGUUACGCUUGGCUUCUGAGCUUAGUACUCGUAGAGUUAUAGCAGUACCUUGAUAUGUAGGGCUGGUGCCUCGUUUUCUGAUUUGCUUUUUACAUGUCAUGCUGCACUAACAAAAUGAAACAGCAUCUCAUUGUUUUAUGCACAUGCAUAAUUGUGAGAAUUGAUUUUCUUAUUUAAUCAUGUUUUUUUAGCCAUCUUGGUCGAAGUCAUUAGAUUUCUAUGCAGUGAUGAGCUUGUUAACAUGUAAGAACCCUAUUGUGUGUAGGGUUUCUUCUGUGAAAUGUACUUGUUACGCUUGGCUUCUGAGCUUUUGUGCAAAUAGUAAUUUCCUGACAUGUAUUGUAUGUUUUGACUUAUGUUAGGCUCAAGCACAUACAAUUUACUUGCCUACAAGAUACAUGCUAGCAGUGUCUAGUUAUCUUUCUUGUUGUGUUUCUUCAAAUGCUUUGCGCUGUAUUGUUGAGAAAUUCACGUGCUUUGCUCAUUG